rnacentral:lncRNA from 1 species
GUAAUUGCUUUGCUUCCUCUACCUGCCUUUACCAAGAGAUGCCUGGCCAGAAGAGCGAGGAAUUAAAGUACCUGUGGAGGCUGCCCACCGAGUGAAGCUGCAGGCUGCCCAUCCCAUCGCAGUAGCUCCUUAGUUGUCACUUGCACUCUAUCCUGCCACCCUUGUGAAGAAGGUGCCUGCUUCUCCUUUACCUUGCGCCAUGAUUGUAAGUUACCUGUGGCCUCCCCAGCAAUACACAACU